rnacentral:rRNA from 1 species
UACAGAGGUCUCAAGCGUUGUUCGGAUUCAUUGGGCGUAAAGGGUGCGUAGGCGGCGUGGUAAGUCGGGUGUGAAAUCUCGGAGCUUAACUCCGAAACUGCAUUCGAUACUGCCGUGCUUGAGGACUGGAGAGGAGACUGGAAUUUACGGUGUAGCGGUGAAAUGCGUAGAUAUCGUAAGGAAGACCAGUGGCGAAGGCGAGUCUCUGGACAGUUCCUGACGCUGAGGCACGAAGGUCAGGGGAGCAAACGGG